GCUAAAGGUGCUGCGUUAGGGACAUGGCUCCCACAGUAGUACAGAAAUGCACAUCACACACACGUGUACAUACUGGCUCCAGAGUUGUGAACGCAAACAUCUGCGAAGGUCCACGCAUGCGCACCGGCCGGGGCUCCCGCCCAGCUCCCUCCCCGCACGCGCACAGACAGUGACAAGCCAGCACAGAAGCAGAGUACAUGACCAUCUUGAGGGGCAGCCCCAGGCUCUGGACCCGGGAGAAGUUGGCAAGGAUGGCAUCCAGCAGAAUCCCUGAGAGGAUGGGAGCAGAGGCUCAGGACCCCCUGGAGGAAGGGUCUCGCUAUGCUGUCCAGGCUGGCCUCAAAAACUCAGCGAUCCUCCUGCCUCAGCCUCCUGAGUGCUGGGAUCACAGGCGUGUGCCACCACGCCCAGCUCCAUUAGAUGCUGCACUUGCUGCUUCCUGCUGUCAUGUGGUCAUGGACGCCACCUCAGUUCACAUGAGGCACAAACACGUCUGCUCAUACAAGUACUCCUUACCCGUGACAUCAGACCAGCCCUGCACUUCCCUAACCUGCCUGGCUCAGGGAGCACCUCCCCUCCUCUUUUUCAAGACACCCACUCUCUGUUCACUUGACCCGCACUGCCUCCAAAUACCCUUCACAGCUGUCUGUCCAAUCCAGAACCCCACUCGGGACCACCGUCCACUGGGCUCCGAGAAAGUCCGCCAUGAUGGGCUGUGUCCUGGCGUUUCUGACACCCAGAGCUGAUUCCUGUGCGCCCAGCUCCUGGGCAAACUCUCCAGAACUGCACAACUCAGAAGCUCCGUGUAACAUUCUGCAUCUGCGUCUCCCUCGGCCCAACCCCCCCCCCCAGGAAUGGCCCCUACCCAGAAUGCCUUGCCCCAGUCACCACGGCCACCAUUCUGGUCUCCCUGACAACCCCUCUCAGUUCUGGUGGCUUUCCUGGCUCACAGGCCAGGGAAAAGCUCGAGGUCCCGGGAGCCCAGAGCUGAGGACCCAUGGCCAUGAACUUCCAGGAAGUGAGGAGGGCGGGGGGGUGGGGCGGGGCCUGACCUCUGACCUCCCCCCCAGAAUGUGACCCUGGCCAUAGCCGCCUUCACCAUCAUUGCCUCCAUCUACUUCUUCAACAAGGCUCGGCAGUGACAGACACCAGCUCGCCUGUCAGAGCCCGCCGCUGCCACCGGCACCAUGACCAUGGCCCCCUGCGACCAAAUAAAUGGAACAGCACCAGCACAGACCGCGCCUUGUGCCCUCUUGAGCAGGGUCACUGAGCCUGCUGCCCACUGAGGGCUAGGCUGUGAGUCUGAGGGAGGAGGCCGGGCCUGCACCCCGGGACUGAGGGGGGAGGAGGAUAAAGACUCAGCUCCUCAGGUUGGAGCCAGGGCCGGCCAUGAGCGAGUGUGGGGCUGAGCAGAAGUCCCCGGAACACACAGGCUCUGAAGACCAUUCCUGCCCUGACUGCAUGAAUAGAAAGGGGAGAGGGUGGAGCAAAGUUACUGCCUGGCACUGAAGCAGCCCACUUUUGUACUUCACACUCCCUGCUUCUCUCCAACCCCUAGUUUUCUUCUCUGUCAGGCAGAAGUGACAGACCUUUUGGCCCCCAAAGGCCACAGCACAAAGGAUGAAGUAACUUCAGAAUUGUGAAUGGGCUUUGUGGGUGGCUGAGUCUGUCAUUAUCAUGUCUCGUCCAUCACUAUUUUUUUUUUGAUACAGGGGCUGGAACUCAGGACCUUGUGCUUGCCAGGCAAGCACGGUGCCACUGAGCUACAUCCCUAACCCCAUCCUCAUCUUAUUUAGCAACACAGCUUCCCCUUUCUCCUCUUAGCAAACUCUUAUUCAACCUUCAAUACCUGCUGUCCAUGCCCCUUCUUAGAGAAGCGUCCAGAACCCCAGAUAGGCAGUGCGUCCGCAGCCCGAUUGCUGCCCCCUUCCCCUCCCUAUCUGCAUCCCAGAACACCCAGGUGAGUUUCCAGGAAAAAGAGGCCUGGGAAUUCCAAUUAGGAGCACACUCAUAGCGAAAGCAUGAUUUUCCCUCAGAUGAACAUAAUUUUUUGCAUUACAAACACUUCCAGCUAGUGAUUUGAUAACGGCGCCCUGUUUAAUUCUCCAAAAUGUCCAGAUUUGACGGGUCCUUGGUUGCAAAACCACGAGCCAGCACACGGGGGCGGUGUCGCACUGUUUCCCCACCAAGGUCCGUCCGCGCCAGCGUCGCGCUCUGGAAACCGAAGUCUGGUUCUGCAAAACCUCAGCAAGAUCUGGGGGGCCAUGCGUCUCCCGCAGGCCUCAAGGCCCUUUCUCCACCGUGCAGGCCGCACUCCCGCUCCCCCUGGACAAGGAGCCCUGGGCCCCAGGCCUGCAGCCCCAGCCCUUUGUUUUGUUUUAUUUUGCGGUUUUGGGGGUUGAACCCAGG